GUCCUCGUGGAAACCGGGCGGCGGAGCGGGGCCCGGGCUGAGGCAGGCCCGGGGGACUGCAGACCUUGCUCACUACGGAGCUUGCUGCUCUGGCCAAGCUCGGCGAGUGCCCGCUUCGUGGCAGGGCCACGCGUUGCCCCGUCGUCAAUGAGGCGAGGGGCCUUCGCCGGGCUUUGCCAGAGGACUGCGGUUGCACUCCGAGCCACUCCUGCCUUAAGUACCAGGCUCCGACCACGUGCCGCUGCUGCACUCAUGGCCCUAGCAGGCACUGAAAGGGACUGGUCAGAUCCAUCAGGAGCACUUCUGAGGUUUGCUUCCUCCCCGCCAGGCCUCAGGACAGAACUGCGGGGGAAUCUGCGAUUAUCAGGAUAACCCAGGGGCCGCAUCUUUGUGUGCCGCUGCGUGAAGCUGACUUGACCAGAGCCAGAGCGUGCCCAGGAUGACGCUGGGAAAAGUUAGCGAGCGGUGCCAGAGAGCUCAACACUAGUCCUUUCACAGAUUUACAGAAGAGUUGCAAAGAUAGCACAGAGCUCCCAGAGACGUGUCACUGCUGUCUCAACGCGAACAUCUUAUACAACCCUGGAAUGGAUCCAGGUUCCCAUGUUGCACUGAGGGGUCGUGUCUCCCUGGGCCCCUCCGGUCUGCGGGAGUUUCUCAGUCCUUUCUCGUCUGUCGUGGCCUUGACCAUUCUUGAAGAGUGCUGGUCAGGUACUGUGUGGAGGUCUGUGCAUUUGUGGAAAUGUGCUGGAAUGGGCAACCUUGGCCUAAGGGGUCGAGUGGGGUGGGUGAACCACGGCCUGCGGGGUGGAUUCAGGGAGCUGUGUUUGUAUGGCCUACAAGCUGAGAAUGGGUUUCAUAUUUUUAAAUGGUUGAAAAAAAAUCAUAGAAUAUCUCAUGAUAUGUGGAAAUUCGGUGUCCACAAGUAAACUCGAUCAGGAUGCAGACACAGCGUUCUCCUGGUUGCUUCUGCGCUGCAGCGGUAGGAUCACAGAGUCCAGGAGGGACCCUUUGGCCCAAGGAGCCUCAAUAUUUACUCUCUUCAUCUUGACAGGGGAGUUUGCCGGCCCUGCUGCUGACGGCCCUGUGAGGACCUGGCAUUCACCUUAACUGAAAGCCAAGUCAGCUAUGAGGUGAGCACUGAUGCUUGGAGUUCACUCAUUCCAUUGUCCCACAAACGUUUGUUGAGGGCCCAUCGUCAAAAUUGGGAGAGAUCCCUAUCUGAGCAAACGUUAACUCUUGUUCAAACUCUGGGAUUGGGAGAGGUUAAUUCUCACCAAAUGUCUUCCCGGUUCGCAGGCACAGUUUCUGCCUGUGAUAAUAAUAGCUGCUGUCAUAUUCUGAGUGCUACCCUGUGCCAGUAACGCUUUACUUGCACCAUCCCUUUUAAUCCUCACAGCCACCCCAGGAGCUGUUCCAGGAGGCGACUGAGGUUUACGAGCUUAGCCUCACCUAAGGGCACACAGGUAUCUACUGGAUGGCAGAAGCAGAGCAGGAACGCAGCCAGGCCCAGAGCAGACGCCACGCAAAUCAGGCACUCGCUGCUCAGGAGCAACGGGGUCAGGAACAGAGCUGGGGCUGGACGAGGCUCUUGGUGGUUCCUGAUCAGGAAGUAACAAAUCAGGACAGCUAGCCAGAGGCCCUGUCUGAAACACACAGGAUCCUUUUUCAAAGGAACAUCAUAACGUGCUUUUUGGUAUUCAGUGUUUUGUUCCUAAGUCUUUUUUUUUUUUUUUUAAGAGAUGGAGUCAUGUUCUGUUGCCCAGG